rnacentral:rRNA from 1 species
GACGAGGGGUCCUAGCGUUGUUCGGAAUUAUUGGGCGUAAAGAGCUCGUAGGCGGUCUGUCGCGUCUGCUGUGAAAAUCCAGGGCUCAACCCUGGACCUGCAGUGGGUACGGGCGGACUAGAGUGCGGUAGGGGAGAUCGGAAUUCCUGGUGUAGCGGUGAAAUGCGCAGAUAUCAGGAGGAACACCGAUGGCGAAGGCAGGUCUCUGGGCUGACACUGACGCUCAUGCACGAAAGCGUGGGGAGCAAACAGG